rnacentral:rRNA from 1 species
UACGAAGGGGGCUAGCGUUGUUCGGAUUUACUGGGCGUAAAGCGCACGUUAGGCGGAUCUUUAAGUCAGAGGUGAAAUCCCAAGGCUCAACCUUGGAACUGCCUUUGAUACUGGGGAUCUUGAGUCCGGGAGAGGUGAGUGGAACUGCGAGUGUAGAGGUGAAAUUCGUAGAUAUUCGCAAGAACACCAGUGGCGAAGGCGGCUCACUGGCCCGGUACUGACGCUGAGGUGCGAAAGCGUGGGGAGCAACAGG